rnacentral:rRNA from 1 species
AAACCGUUCAGGGGUAAACCUGAGAAACCCAAAAGAUCGAAUGGGGAGACUCAGCGUCAGCCGCUUGUUGGCUUGCGUGCGGCUCGCGAUGCUCUCGGGUGGCCUUUCACGAGGUCUUUCACGAGGGCACGCGGUCGCUGCGUCAUGUCCGGCGCGGUCGGCGUGCACUUCUCCCCUAGUAGGACGUCGCGACCCGUUGGGUGUCGACCGACGGCCCGCGAGGUAGCCUGGGGCGCAGCGCGUUAAUAGCGCGCUCGCGUCUCAGACCCGCGUGUGCCCGGCUCGACUGCCCGGCGGUAGAGAUCGCUUAUGAUAAUGGUAUGGGGUCGCACGCUCAUGUAAAUCUGCGAUGCGUUUCGGCCCGUCGACAGACUGGCCUCGCUCGGCGUUUACGGACCUGGUGCCGUUGCCGAGCGCUUGGUCGGUCCAAUUCGACGGUGUCCUCGAACGGGCCCUGCUUUAAAACAUACCCGUCGGCGACGCUACUGCUUUGGG